GAUGAACGCUGGCGGCGUGCCUAAUACAUGCAAGUCGAGCGAACGGACGAGAAGCUUGCUUCUCUGAUGUUAGCGGCGGACGGGUGAGUAACACGUGGAUAACCUACCUAUAAGACUGGGAUAACUUCGGGAAACCGGAGCUAAUACCGGAUAAUAUUUUGAACCGCAUGGUUCAAAAGUGAAAGACGGUCUUGCUGUCACUUAUAGAUGGAUCCGCGCUGCAUUAGCUAGUUGGUAAGGUAACGGCUUACCAAGGCAACUAUGCAUAGCCGACCUGAGAGGGUGAUCGGCCACACUGGAACUGAGACACGGUCCAGACUCCUACGGGAGGCAGCAGUAGGGAAUCUUCCGCAAUGGGCGAAAGCCUGACGGAGCAACGCCGCGUGAGUGAUGAAGGUCUUCGGAUCGUAAAACUCUGUUAUUAGGGAAGAACAUAUGUGUAAGUAACUGUGCACAUCUUGACGGUACCUAAGCAGAAAGCCACGGCUAACUACGU
rnacentral:rRNA from 1 species